rnacentral:rRNA from 1 species
AAUAAGCGGAGGAAAAGAAACCAACAGGGAUUGCCCUAGUAACGGCGAGUGAAGCGGCAACAGCUCAAAUUUGAAAUCUGGCUCUUUCAGAGUCCGAGUUGUAAUUUGCAGAGGGCGCUUUGGCUUUGGCAGCGGUCCAAGUUCCUUGGAACAGGACGUCACAGAGGGUGAGAAUCCCGUACGUGGUCGCUAGCUAUUGCCGUGUAAAGCCCCUUCGACGAGUCGAGUUGUUUGGGAAUGCAGCUCUAAAUGGGAGGUAAAUUUCUUCUAAAGCUAAAUAUUGGCCAGAGACCGAUAGCGCACAAGUAGAGUGAUCGAAAGAUGAAAAGCACUUUGGAAAGAGAGUCAAACAGCACGUGAAAUUGUUGAAAGGGAAGCGCUUGCAGCCAGACAUGCUUGCAGUUGCUCAUCCGGGCUUUUGCCCGGUGCACUCUUCUGUAGGCAGGCCAGCAUCAGUUUGGGCGGUGGGAUAAAGGUCUCUGUCACGUACCUCUCUUCGGGGAGGCCUUAUAGGGGAGACGACAUACCACCAGCCUAGACUGAGGUCCGCGCAUCUGCUAGGAUGCUGGCGUAAUGGCUGUAAGCGGCCCGUCUUGAAACACGGACCAAGGAGUCUAACAUCUAUGCGAGUGUUUGGGUGUCAAGCCCGAGCGCGUAAUGAAAGUGAACGGAGGUGGGAACCCGCAAGGGUGCACCAUCGACCGAUCCUGAAGUUUACGGAAGGAUUUGAGUAAGAGCAUGGCUGUUGGGACCCGAAAGAUGGUGAACUAUGCUUGAAUAGGGUGAAGCCAGAGGAAACUCUGGUGGAGGCUCGCAGCGGUUCUGACGUGCAAAUCGAUCGUCAAAUUUGGGCAUAGGGGCGAAAGACUAAUCGAACUAUCUAGUAGCUGG